UUGCGGUUAAAAAGUUCGUAGUUGGAUUUCUGUCGGGAGAAGUUGGUCUACACUCGACGUGUACGACAUCUAACUUAUUUCGGCGUCCUCUUGGGGAACGGUGCUGUGCUUAGUUGCAUAGGCCGCGAUUCAAGACAUUUACUUUGAGGAAAUUAGAGUGUUCACGGCAAGCUAUCGCUUUGAAUACAUUAGCAUGGAAUAAUAAUAUAGGGCGUGAGUUCUAUUUUGUUGGCUUCUAGGAUUCUCGCAAUGAUUAAUAGGGAUAAUUGGGGGCAUUCGUAUUAACGCGUCAGAGGUGGAAUUCUUAGAUUGCGUUACGACCGAACCUACUGCGAAAGCAUUUGCCAAGGAUGUUUUCCAUUAAUCAAGAACGAAAGUUAGGGGAUCGAAGAUGAUUAGAUACCAUCGUAGUCUUAAACCAUAAACCUAUGCCGACUAGGGAUUGGCGGUCGUUA
rnacentral:rRNA from 1 species